GAUGAACGCUGGCGGCGUGCCUAAUACAUGCAAGUCGAGCGAACAGACGAGGAGCUUGCUCCUCUGACGUUAGCGGCGGACGGGUGAGUAACACGUGGAAAACCUACCUAUAAGACUGGGAUAACUUCGGGAAACCGGAGCUAAUACCGGAUAACAUGUUGAACCGCAUGGUUCAAGAGUGAAAGACGGUCUUGCUGUCACUUAUAGAUGUAUCCGCGCCGCAUUAGCUAGUUGGUAAGGUAACGGCUUACCAAGGCAACGAUGCGUAGCCGACCUGAGAGGGUGAUCGGCCACACUGGAACUGAGACACGGUCCAGACUCCUACGGGAGGCAGCAGUAGGGAAUCUUCCGCAAUGGGCGAAAGCCUGACGGAGCAACGCCGCGUGAGUGAAGAAGGUCUUCGGAUCGUAAAACUCUGUUAUUAGGGAAGAACAAAUGUGUAAGUAACUAUGCACGUCUUGACGGUACCUAAUCAGAAAGCCACGGCUAACUACGUG
rnacentral:rRNA from 1 species